rnacentral:lncRNA from 1 species
CUUGCUGACCGUACUAGACAGCAUAUAAGACUGGACUUCUGCUUGCCUUAGUCCUGGAAAGAGAGAAGCUAGAGCUGGGACAGAAAGCCCUCAUUUUUGAGAAUGUAUCCUUAAAAGAAGUCAACAACCUUCUGAAAGAAUAGCAAUCAGCAACAUCAUCAACACAAGAAAAUGCAAGAACACACUUGCAGAUACCCCAAGACUUUUUAUUCACAACAGUACACAAAGACAUUGAAGAUGGCUACAAUAAUGUCUUAAAUCUUAGUAAAUAAAUGGUGGUGGGAGGAGUCCUGGAAAUGAUAUAGACUCCAUUUUUAUUAUCCAAAAUGACAAUGGUUCUGAGCCUGAGUAAGGGGAUGUUUCUGAUGCAAUAUCUCAGGAUUACAACAAAUCAAAUCAAGUCACCUCAAGGUACCAUGAAGAGUCUCAGAGGGCAUCUUCUUCUGUAGGUUUCCUGGUGGAGGAGGUAUAACCAGAGAUUAUCUCCAGGCCAGAACAGUCUGAAGACUGCCUGAUCCAUGAAGUGAAAUCCAAACAUAAGGGUAACCAAGAGAGAAUCCACAGAGAGUCUAAGACUUACAAAUGUGAGAAAUUCCCCAGAGCAUUAAAAUAUCCCUCUAGGCUUUUAGCCCACCAGAGAAGACACAAGAGGGAGAAGUCGUUUAUCUGUACCAGGUGUCAAAAGGGC